rnacentral:rRNA from 1 species
CACCAGACUCCUACGGGAGGCAGCAGUGGGGAAUAUUGCACAAUGGGGGGAACCCUGAUGCAGCGACGCCGCGUGAGUGAAGAAGUAUUUCGGUAUGUAAAGCUCUAUCAGCAGGGACGAAGAUGACGGUACCUGCAGAAGAAGCCCCGGCUAACUACGUGCCAGCAGCCGCGGUAAUACGUAGGGGGCAAGCGUUAUCCGGAUUUACUGGGUGUAAAGGGGGCGCAGACGGCGAUGCAAGCCAGGAGUGAAAGCCCGGGGCCCAACCCCGGGACUGCUCUUGGAACUGCGCGGCUGGAGUGCAGGAGGGGCAGGCGGAAUUCCUGGUGUAGCGGUGAAAUGCGUAGAUAUCAGGAGGAACACCGGUGGCGAAGGCGGCCUGCUGGACUGCGACUGACGUUGAGGCCCGAAAGCGUGGGGAGCAAACAGGAUUAGAUACCCGUGUAAC